AGUUUUCACUAUCUUUGUUCUACUAUAUAUUUUU
rnacentral:sRNA from 1 species